rnacentral:rRNA from 1 species
CCUACGGGGGGCUGCAGUAGGGAAUAUUGGACAAUGGGGGGAACCCUGAUCCAGCCAUGCCGCGUGUGUGAAGAAGGCCCUCGGGUUGUAAAGCACUUUCAGUGAGGAAGAACGCCUGGUGGUUAAUACCCAUCAGGAAAGACAUCACUCACAGAAGAAGCACCGGCUAACUCCGUGCCAGCAGCCGCGGUAAUACGGAGGGUGCGAGCGUUAAUCGGAAUUACUGGGCGUAAAGCGCGCGUAGGUGGCUUGAUAAGCCGGUUGUGAAAGCCCCGGGCUCAACCUGGGAACGGCAUCCGGAACUGUCAAGCUAGAGUGCAGGAGAGGAAGGUAGAAUUCCCGGUGUAGCGGUGAAAUGCGUAGAGAUCGGGAGGAAUACCAGUGGCGAAGGCGGCCUUCUGGACUGACACUGACACUGAGGUGCGAAAGCGUGGGUAGCAAACAGGAUUAGAUACCCUAGUAGUC